rnacentral:rRNA from 1 species
GACGAACGCUGGCGGCGUGCCUAAUACAUGCAAGUUGAGCGCUGAAGGUUGGUACUUGUACCAACUGGAUGAGCAGCGAACGGGUGAGUAACGCGUGGGGAAUCUGCCUUUGAGCGGGGGACAACAUUUGGAAACGAAUGCUAAUACCGCAUAAAAACUUUAAACACAAGUUUUAAGUUUGAAAGAUGCAAUUGCAUCACUCAAAGAUGAUCCCGCGUUGUAUUAGCUAGUUGGUGAGGUAAAGGCUCACCAAGGCGAUGAUACAUAGCCGACCUGAUAGGGUAGUCGGCCACAUUGGGACUGAGACACGGCCCAAACUCCUACGGGAGGCAGCAGUAGGGAAUCUUCGGCAAUGGACGAAAGUCUGACCGAGCAACGCCGCGUGAGUGAAGAAGGUUUUCGGAUCGUAAAACUCUGUUGGUAGAGAAGAACGUUGGUGAGAGUGGAAAGCUCAUCAAGUGACGGUAACUACCCAGAAAGGGACGGCUAACUACGUG